UACGAAGGGGGCUAGCGUUGUUCGGAAUUACUGGGCGUAAAGCGCACGUAGGCGGCUUCUUAAGUCGGGGGUGAAAUCCUGGAGCUCAACUCCAGAACUGCCUUCGAUACUGGGAAGCUCGAGUCCGGGAGAGGUGAGUUGAACUGCGAGUGUAGAGGUGAAAUUCGUAGAUAUUCGCAAGAACACCAGUGGCGAAGGCGGCUCACUGGCCCGGUACUGACGCUGAGGUGCGAAAGCGUGGGGAGCAAACAGG
rnacentral:rRNA from 1 species